AUUAAUAAUUUUUUCUUAGGUGCCCUGUAAAGGGAGAAUAGGGAACCGGGUGUAAGUCCCGGACGGGCCCGCCACUGUAUAGGUUAGCCGAUGCCAACAACCACUCCAAAGUUGGGGGAAGGGGCAUAAUGGCGAUGAUCCUGAGUCAGGAGACCUGCCUAAGAUAAGAGUGACCU
rnacentral:ncRNA from 2 species